AAAAAAACACCUCAAUGAAUUAGAAGAGAGGCUACUUUCAAGUAUCUACAUAAUUAAAAAUACUUCCUUUUAUACUCAGACCAAAAGGAGUUAUUUAUGCAGGUUGUGAAAUUGCUUGCCAAAGCACUUGUUAGAAGUGCACUUGAUGCUUCACAGCAAGAGAAAAGAGCUCCCAGACCAGAAACACACAAAAGAGAAAGAGAACAGAAUAACUUAGUGAGAUGCCUGACCAAUUAACACUGUUCUCAGACCCUGUUUGCAUGCUUCAUCCUUCGUAUUAGACUUACUUGUCAGAGGUUAGACCGGAAACUUCAUCUACUGUCAAGGUGUCAAAAGGAAAAUUAAGCUUUCUAGAUCCUGUGAGUAGGAGUCCACAACUCAUUCUGUUUCUUCCCAUCAACACUACUACUCACCUCUACUACUGAUCAUCUUUCUUGAACACACCCAUGACCACAAUGAAACAGGCAUGGUUCGAUACCCCUUGUAUUCAGAUACUUGACUGCAAGAACAUUUGACGGUUGAAGCUAUGGCUGACGUGAUUAAUAGUAUAUAUUGUUCAUAAACAGUUGAUAAGAGACUUGAAUUUUAAUAGAACUCUAAAAUUAAGGGAAAAAAAUAGGAAAUGCAGAAGAUUUUGCCAUGCUUUGACAACAAGUGUUUAAGGCAAAGCCAGUUUAUCAUGAACUACUACUGUGAGAUAGCAGAAAAGAUCACCGAGAAAGGAGGAAAGUAGAGAAAAAGGAAAAGCAGUUUUGCCACUCAACUACAAACUCCAUUUUUCAUCUUUAAUAAGAGUAAACACUUGAAGGAAAUUUCUGGAUUACUCUAGCAACUCUGAGCUUCAGCACUGUUCAUUCAAAAGUCCCCAACAUUUAGGAAGCUGUGUGGGAGGGAAAUACUCACAUACUAAAACACAGACACAGACACACACACACCCCCCCCAAAGCACAAAGACAGUGGUUCUAUCAAUAGCCAGUGAAAACCUUCUGUUGUACUGUCUUAAUCUGACUUCAUCUACUUUUACAGAGUCUCAAAGUGUUUCUUCUACUGACAUCUCCAAUACUCUUCCCAUUCAGCAAGUCAGUGGAAUCCAUCUAAUGGGUUUUUAUAAUUUCACAGAAGAUCUGUGGAGGAUUUUCUAGAGGAAAACGGACAUGUGAGCAAUCCAGCCCUAAUGCUAAUAGCAAGAGUGUGAAAGUAGGCUUUGCGGCCUACCGGUAAGGUUACUAGAGGGCAUACAAUGUGGUGAGAAACUGUCCUUGGAAGGAGAAAAACAACUCCCAGGAAAAACAACUCCCAGAUGUUCAGUGAGAAACUUACGGGCUUAGGUAAUUUCUUUGCCUCCUCGGAGACAGUAAAUGCUAUCCAAUCAUAUACUGUUUAGAUGUGUGUGCUAAAUGAACAUGUACCAAUCACUGUAUAGUUUGAUUCACGGGAUCACUGUUAAGGCAUAUAAAAGACGCUAUUCGGGCUUAAUCAAGUGUCAGCAUUUAACCAUAUUGAUUGGCGUGCUGUCCGUUAAUCUCCCGCAACUGGCGCCCGAACAGGGACGACCAAAGACAGAAGAUUGAACAGGGUCCGAAGAUGAGCCGGAACCGUGACUCUCUUGCUGUUGCUUGCUAGAGCGAUAAAGACAGCUGGAAAAGAGAGGGUAAGCGGGAAAGCCAACCGGAGGGGGGAGUUGCUGUCCCGGCAACUGGAAAAAAAAAGGAGUGCACUCAGAGAAGCCGUGUCAAGGAUCGCGAAGAUUAGCCGCGAUCGUAAAGUCGUGAAGUUUAACCGCGACACAGAUAAAGGGCACGAGGAUUGCGAGGGUUAACCGCAAGGAGCGACGUGAAGCCGCGACGAGGAUCCGCGAGGAAUCUCACCAAAAAGCGCGCAGGUGCAAGCAAACCAAAACCCCAAACAAGCCAUCUGUUCCCAGCGGAAACAGGACUGAGCUGCUGCGACCCCUGAAAUGGUCUCCCUGUGACCAUUCGGGACACACCGAGCCUGCGCUGAACCGGACCACGAUCGGACAGAGACUUUGGGACCUGGACUGCAAAUUACUGCCGCUUAACACAACUUUUAUAAAACUUGCUUAGCCGCACUCCCUAGUUCAGUGAGAAAGGGCCCCAGAGCUGGUGCAGACUGGAAAGAUAAGGGAGUUACAAGCAGUUUGCAUUCCUAUGCGUCACACUCCAGGAGGGAGGAUGUCAAGGCUUUGAAAUAAGGCCUGCUUGGGCGCCAGGACCCUGGGAAACAAAGCCUCCCCUCACUGCUGAAACAGUGUUAAUUUGGGGGGGGUCUGGAUUAUAUCCUCCUCGUCAGGACCUUGGAAGAUAACACCUAUUGUCACUGCUGGGGCAGUGCUAAUUGCUGGAACAACACCUGUUUGUCAGGGCCCUGAGAAAGAAGGGCAGAACCCGAGGAAUCAACACAUUUGUCAGCAGAAACCGCAACAGUAAAGAUAAGGGAGAAAAGCAGCCUGCCUGGGAACAACAAUGAGACCCAAUAGGGAGCAGGAGACCCCAGACCCAAAAAUUACUAUUGGUCUGAACUACCGCGUGAGGGGCGGGAAACUUAAUUUGAAAAAAGCUAUAAUUGCCCAGGGAUUUCUUUGUUCAGGGUCCCUCUUCGGAGGCACCCAACUCGAGCUGUAACUACUGCACGCGUGUCAUUCCAAACUUUUCAGCGGGAACCUAGGGUCGGACCCUGCUCGAGUUGUAAUUACUGCACGCGCAUCGCUAAAAUUUACACCCAGGGUGAAGAGGACCAACGGGACGCCGCUGGAUCCACGGGUGGUGAUAUCUCUUUCUCUCUCCCCCUUUUCUCUCUCUCUCUUUCUCUCUCUCUCUCUUCCCCUUUGCCUUUCCUCACCUUUUCUCCCCACUCUGUGGAAAAUAAAGUUAAAAGGUUGUACGAUAUUUGACCGGUUUUAGCGUCUUAAUCUCGUCCUUGGGAUCGUAACGAAACCCUCCCGAUAUUGGAUCGGGACAUCUAAUUGGCGUCACGGACAGGAUCCCUUGAGAUGAGAGUAUCGUACAACCGUAUGGUGUGCUGAGCGAGUGUGUGUGAACGAGACGUACGAACAAGUACGAAGUGAGUGCGGAGUUCCGAUCUGCGGUUCCGCUCUCCCGUGAGGGAAGCGGCUGGAGACGAAUGAAGCGUAAGGAAGGAGUGAAUGUUGAGAUCUUUAGUAUACUAGUUUGUGGUUUGGCUCCUGAGGGUGGAUAGGGGAAACUUGGAUUUUAAGGUGUGACCCCCUCAGGAUGAUAUCCCCUUUGUAGGACAUUUUUUGUACUAGUAUACGGUUUGGCCUCCUGAGGGUGUAUAGGGGAAACUUGGAUUUUAAGGUGUGACCCCCUCAGGAUGAUAUCCCCUUUGUAGGACAUUUUUUGUAGUAGCUUACAGUUUGGCCUCCCGGGAGCGUAUAGGGGAAACUUGGGACUCCUUUAAGGUUUGGCCCUCCCGGGACGAAAUCCCCUUUGUAGGAUAUGGCUGCCCAGAAGGCAGGCAAUUUUUGUGGAGAAAUCGAGAAAUUGUAUGAUCUUUUGGAAGUACACUGUUCUCACCCCUCGCCCUCAGGACGAGACUGGGCACGGGACCAUUGGUCCCAAUUGCAAAAUGUAGUAGACCGGAUAGCGGUCUUGCAAAAAGAAGCUAAAGUAGAGAAAGGAAAAGGGAAAGCUAUUGUUUGUGCCGUGCUAGGAGCGUGCCUAGCAGCUGCGGUGGAGGACAGAGAGUGGGCACCUUGUCAGGCGGAGGCUGUGGUUGCCGCACUGCAAGCGGCGCUAACGCCGCUGCAAGAACAGUUAUGGGAAACCAAGCGGGCACUGGAGGAAGAGAAGCACCAAAAUCUGAUACUGAAAGAGGAGCUAAGAAACCAGCUCCUGAGGGAGGCAGACACCCUCACCAAAACUGAGGUGCUGCUCGAGGGAAAAGGGGUACGCCAAAUUUACCCCCAAAGGGCUGCAAGCGGCGCCUCCCCUCCCCCCUUCCCGGCUGACUAAUGUAAAACCCUAUCCGUUACCUUUGGGAGCGAGAGAGGGAAUUAGCCCAGUAUUGGAGGACCUGAAAAAACAGGGAGUUGUGAUCCCGGCACAGUCCCCCUUCAAUUCCCCUGUAUGGCCAGUUCGAAAACCAAAGUGUAAGUGGAGACUAACCGUAGACGAUUGGCAAUUAAAUAACAGUACAGGCCCAUUGAUGACAGCUGUGCCAAACAUUGCUGAAUUAAUAGCGACUAUCCAGGAGCAGUCCCACCCUGUGACGGCAACAAUCGAUGUCAAAGACAUGUUUCUUAUGGUCCCUUUACAGCCUGAGGACCAAGAGCGUUUUGCCUUCACGUGGGAGGGACAGCAAUACACGUUCACCCGACUGCCUCAGGGGUACAAGCAUUCCCCUACGCUAGCCCAUCAUGCACUAGCACAAGAGCGCGAAACUGUCCCCAUACAGGCAGCAGUCAGAAUUUAUCAAUACAUAGACGAUGUGCUCGUGGGAGGGAGCCGGGUAGAGGAUGUUGAUAAAACGCAGAGCGACAUUAUUGCUCACCUAGAGCAGAUAGGGCUGACAAUUCCGCCCAAAAAGAUCCAAACUCCCUCCAGUGAAGUAAAAUUUUGGGGAAUCUGGUGGAGGGGGGGGAUGACCUGCAUUCCCCCGGAUACCCUGUCCUCAUUGGACUCAGUUAAAAUGCCGGAGUCCAAAAAGGACUUGCAACAUGCUUUAGGGCUGCUUGUGUUUUGGAGGAAGCACAUUCCCGAUUUUUCAAUUAUUGCUAGGCCUUUAUAUGACUUACUACGGAAAAGGGCUCACUGGGAGUGGACCUCGGUCCACGAUGAGGCGUUGCAGCUGCUGGUCUUUGAGGCAAAUGCUUACCAGGCCUUGGGGCCAAUCCACCCCACCGACCCUAUCCAGAUUGAAUGGGGGUUUGCCCAGACCGGACUCUCUAUCCACCUGUGGCAGAAGGGACCAGAGGGGCCUACACGGCCCAUCGGGUUUUAUUCACGUAGCUUCAAAGACGCUGAAAAGCGGUAUACUACAUGGGAGAAGGGGCUGUUUGUAGUCAGCCUUGCUCUAAGGGAGGCUGAAUGAACUAUUCGAAAACAACCCCUAGUUCUCCGAGGUCCAUUUAAAGUAACCAAAGCAAUUCUGGCAGGGACCCCGCCACCUGACGGGGUGGCUCAGAGAGCCUCUGUACGAAAAUGGUACGCACAAAUAGAGCAUUAUUGUGAAAUAUUUUCUGUAACAGAAGGAGCCACUAAAAUAUUAAAUAUACAAGACGAAGUAGACUUGAAUAAAGAAAACCCCCAACUCCCCCCUGUAAUUCAAGUAGCUCCCCCAUUUUCCGAUCAGAUCCUAAAUGCAUGGUUCACAGACGCUUCCUCAAAGCGGGAAGGGAAAACCUGGAGAUACCGGGCUGUGGCACUCCAGGUGGGGACUAAAGAGCAGAUCAUUACAGAGGGAGAGGGCAGUGCACAGGUGGGAGAGCUAGUUGCAGUGUGGAGCGUAUUCCAACGCAAAAGCCAGGCUACUUCCCCAGUACACAUCUACACGGACUCACAUACGGUGUUCAAAGGCUGCCUGGAAUGGCUUCCUCUUUGGGAGCAAAAUGCCUGGGAGGUUAAUAGAAUAAUAAAUAUAUUCGGAGAGCAAAAGAUGCUAGUGGGAAAACCUACAAGAUUUACACAAAAUGGAUUAUUCCCUCCUCUUGACCCGAGGAGCGAGUUUGUUCUUAUUUAUGUUUUCAAAGGUGGUGGUCUGACCAAGAUGCAUCUACUGCUCUGGACCAUCCAGAUUCAAGGAUGCAUCCAUGAGGGUGACGAACAACCACUCCCUCUACCUUCCCCCAACCCAUUUAAUCCCUUCGAGAACAACAAGUUCAUGUUGCUGGCGAAAGCAGUAAGCCAAACUUUCAAUUUACGCCACUGCUGGGUUUGCGGAGGACCGCUAGGGUUAUCAAGCUGGCCGUGGACGUCCACACCCCUCACCCCAGACCAGAUCGUAAGCAAUUAUAGCGAAACCGCAGACGACACGUGGGACGACAGUGGGACCUGGCCAAUUCAGUUUCCAGCCAUGGGGCAAUAUUGUUUAAAUCGUACCCAGGAGGGAGGGAUCGAAGUGGGGGAAAGUAAAUGUCGAUGGACACUCGCUCGUAAGCCUAAAAAGAUAAAGACGGGAAUCUCCACUCAUGGACAUGGCUUGAUGAAACGGGGCACAAUCGGGAAUUUGUUAUAUAGGGAUCAUCAGAUCUUUGUUUUUCCUUUUACCAGAAACAGGCGGACCUCAGUUAGGCGUAAAGGUAUCUGAUAACCUCGGAGACAGAAGUGUUGCCUGUAAGACGCAAUCCAUUAAGGCAGAUUUGGGUGGGACGCAAAGAUGGGAGAAUAACGAGUGGCCUCCUGACAUACCCCCUGGAGGCCACAAUCCAGUGGAAAAGUUGAAAGAAUGAAACAAACAAUUAAGAGACAGGUAGGACAAUCAGCACCAGAUAUAAGGAGAAAGCUUCAGAAAGUAGAUGGUAUGUCGGGGAUGUUAAUAUAAGGUGUACAAUAACAGGGAAGAAGUAGAGGGAAAGGAAAAACAAAAGGAGAAACUGAAAGAUAAGAGGCAAAAUGCUGCAAUGUUGGCAGCUGCAUUUGCCCAGGCACAAACUUCCUCUCAGGGAAGGGGUUUUCCAAAAGGACAAGGAUGUGGAAGAGGGCAUAGAGUAGGAGGGCAUUUGGGAAACAGAAUUCCACUGAGGAGAUCAAUGUGCAAUAUGCAGGGGGAAGGGGCACUGGAAAAAUGAGUGCCCGAAGAGACAAUCAGAUCAUUGGAAACCUCAGUCUGCAUCUGUUCCAGAGGCAGAUUUGCUCAUGAUUGGUACAGAAGAUUCAGACUGACGGGGACCGGGGGUUGAGAAAUUGGAUUCCCCAGCCGAACCCCUGGUUUCAGUAAAGCUGGGGAACGAAAUGCAAUAGAUCUUUUAACUCUGCAGUCCCAACAGAUGCGCAUGGCAAUCCUUCAGCACCGCAUGGUUUUAGACUAUCUGUUAGCUGAAGAGGGAGGGGUGUGUGGGAAAUUGAAUAUUUCCAACUGUUGUUUAGAGAUAGAUGAUGUAGGCGAAGUAGCUUUCCAGUUAACCAAAGAUAUCAGAAAAAAUAGCCCACGUCCCUGUCCAAACCUGGAAUGGCUGGAGUGGCGAUUUGUGGUCCUGGUUACUGGGGGCACUGUGAGUGAAACAGUUAAUAUUGUAUUUGUUAUGUGCAGUUGCUGCUUUAAUGUUCUUAUCUUGUAUAAUUCCUUGCUUUGUUCAAUUAAUCUGACAUGUUGUGUCAAAUAUGCAAUUUGUUUACCUGUUGUAACAAUCACUUACCUUGUUAACUCAAUUUUGAUGUUUGUUCUGUGAAGUUAUAUGUUGUUAAAGUUGUUAAAGAAUAAGUUUGCAUUGAGCAAGACCUCUGUUUAUUGUGCGUGCUUCUACCUUUUCUAUAUUUCCUUCUGAUCUCUGUCUCAUAUCACCACCAUGGACGAAGGCUAUGAAGACUUCAGGAAGGAGACGUACCAAUCAAUGUUUAAGUCACGGGGUGGUGUGGCGGACAGAUGAGUGAACUUUUGCCUUAAACAUUUCUUGGUACAUAAGGUGCAAGCAAACCAAAACCCCAAACAAGCCAUCUGUUCCCAGCGGAAACAGGACUGAGCUGCUGCGACCCCUGAAAUGGUCUCCCUGUGACCAUUCGGGACACACCGAGCCUGCGCUGAACCGGACCACGAUCGGACAGAGACUUUGGGACCUGGACUGCAAAUUACUGCCGCUUAACACAACUUUUAUAAAACUUGCUUAGCCGCACUCCCUAGUUCAGUGAGAAAGGGCCCCAGAGCUGGUGCAGACUGGAAAGAUAAGGGAGUUACAAGCAGUUUGCAUUCCUAUGCGUCACACUCCAGGAGGGAGGAUGUCAAGGCUUUGAAAUAAGGCCUGCUUGGGCGCCAGGACCCUGGGAAACAAAGCCUCCCCUCACUGCUGAAACAGUGUUAAUUUGGGGGGGGUCUGGAUUAUAUCCUCCUCGUCAGGACCUUGGAAGAUAACACCUAUUGUCACUGCUGGGGCAGUGCUAAUUGCUGGAACAACACCUGUUUGUCAGGGCCCUGAGAAAGAAGGGCAGAACCCGAGGAAUCAACACAUUUGUCAGCAGAAACCGCAACAGUAAAGAUAAGGGAGAAAAGCAGCCUGCCUGGGAACAACAAUGAGACCCAAUAGGGAGCAGGAGACCCCAGACCCAAAAAUUACUAUUGGUCUGAACUACCGCGUGAGGGGCGGGAAACUUAAUUUGAAAAAAGCUAUAAUUGCCCAGGGAUUUCUUUGUUCAGGGUCCCUCUUCGGAGGCACCCAACUCGAGCUGUAACUACUGCACGCGUGUCAUUCCAAACUUUUCAGCGGGAACCUAGGGUCGGACCCUGCUCGAGUUGUAAUUACUGCACGCGCAUCGCUAAAAUUUACACCCAGGGUGAAGAGGACCAACGGGACGCCGCUGGAUCCACGGGUGGUGAUAUCUCUUUCUCUCUCCCCCUUUUUUCUCUCUCUCUUUCUCUCUCUCUCUCUCCCCCUUUGCCUUUCCUCACCUUUUCUCCCCACUCUGUGGAAAAUAAAGUUAAAAGGUUGUACGAUA